GCAUGUCACUGAACCCUACUCCUUCCUACUGAGCACCCAGGCACUCAACUCACAGCUGGGGCAUCUGAUGAGCUCUUUGAGGGCUCCAGUCAGCCUAAAAUCUGUAAAAUUCAGCUUUGGUUUUGCUUCCCACUUCGUUUAGCUUCAUUGCUGUGUUUGCAGGUUCAAUGUGUGUAUGACCAAGCUGUGAAAACAGCAACCAAACAAAAUGAUACCCUAAGGUCUGAUCAGCAGCACACUGGGAUUUACUUCUUUCAGGCUAUCAUCCCUGAUUUUAAAUUGGAGCAGGGAGCACAGCAUGGUCAUUUUAUUGAUUGGAUUAGAGAAAAAUUGAGCUGGCUGAUCUGUACGAUGACAUUAUUGAGUUGUGUUUGCAGCUAUGACAGAAACAAAGGAGUUUUUAUUGGAUUACUGGGGCACAGGGGGAAAAGGGGAAAGAAAAGGUAAUAUAGAGGUGAGCGGGUAUUAGGCUUGGUGCCUUUGUGCUCAGUCUCUUCAGCAAGGGCUCUCUUCUUCUCUGCUGCCCUGUCUAUUCAGCUGACUGCUGCGUUGGCUGCUGCUGCUGCUGCUGCCUUUCCAAACGCAACCAACUCUGUAUCCAAAGAGACGGGAAUUAGUUGCAGUCCCUCAUUAGUGGAUACUCUCAUUACACUUGUUCAUCACUCAGAUGGACUCACAUCACCUUUUCAAAUCAAAGACCCUUCCGAGGUACAAAAAUAGUCCAAGUGAAGAUUGGGGUUUCCUGAGAACUCCUCUAUCCUUAACUGGCUGGCUGAGGCUGCACCCAGGACACUUCUGUUCUCCUGCCAUAGAGUAUCUCUCAUAUUUGGUCCUAGCUGUCUUCUUCCUUAUUUAGACAACUCCUAGAAGAUAAGAUGCACUGCAGGCUCAUCCUUCCAAUGAGUGGUGAAGGAUCUCACCUGACUGUUGGAGUCCUGUCAGACCUAGUGGCUUAGCCAAGAAUGUUUACUGUCAUUGGAGAAGGAUGGUUUUUCCCAGCCACACAAAAUGUGAAUAAUGUGAGGCUGGGUUUGUGAUUAUAUGUGUGCAGCUGGUGGUUUACAGGUGUGUUUGUAGUGAGAGGAGUGUGGGAUGAUGGAUAGAGUUAAACCUAGAGAGAAUUCAGAAUUUUAAGGUAAAAAGCAGCUGCAACUACCUAGAUGGACUGAGGCCGACAUCCUCUCCUAUACAACAAUAAACAAUAAACAAGAAACAGAAGGGAGUGUGGAACGAAGUGGAGACUACGUGGCCCCCCUCCAUUCUAAUCCCAGCAGAAUGGGAGAACACUGUGGUACUGAGACCAUACAGUACCCGUCUGACAAGGAAGAAUCAAGAUGUUCUGCUGCUGAAGCCAACAAACAUGUCAAACUCCCUCCUCAGGUGCCAAACCACAACCACCCCCCCCCUCCCAUUAAAUACACCAAUCAGAAAUAAAAGGUAUUUAUGACUAGACCCACUCAAACUCCACCCAAACAUAAAGCAAAUAGUAUAAAAGUAAGCUGGGGAUAGGGGGAAAGUGGGAGAAGACCUCCACUGAAACUGCUGGGAUCAGUCGAUGGGCUGAGUCCAUCUUCUCCCCUGCCAGAGGGACGCCUUGGGUGAGAAAUAUUGUCUACGUGCAUUAAAUGGUGCUUUGAAGACUAAAGCUUUUGUUUGUGCUUACCCCACAACAUAUUAGUAGAUUGCUUUGUAUCAGAACUUGUGCUUGCUUAAUAUAUGUAUUAACAGACUGGUUUUUUUUAAGCCAUAUUCUUGCAGUAGACACUAUCACCGACAACAUUCAAACCUUAAUUAUCUGUCACAAUUUGUAUUAAUAGAGUGUUAUUCCAUAAACUGUAAAGUUAGUCCUUGCAGUUGCUGGCAGUGCUUAACACCAGUUGCAGAGGGGUCUUGGCUCUGAUGAGUUUCCCCUAACAAGGCAGGUUGAGGUACCCUCCGAUCUUGUGAAUCUGUUGGUGAAGGGUCUCAUUACGGGAUGCUGACAGACUGUCAGGCACCAGGGUCUCAACUCUCCCAAAGAUACCAACAGGUAAAAAUCCAAACUCCCACCUUUCACGUGACAAGGAGUUGUAGGUAUAGUUAUAUAUAUACUCUGUUCCUUAUGCAACAUUCACAAGCGUGUGAAGAGAGCAUAAGGAAUAGUAUGCGUUGUAUAUUUUCUCUAAUGAAGUAUUAUCUUACAAUUUUGCACAGAUCUGAUGAGAAGGUAUUGCAGCCAUGUCUCAUGCUCAAGCCCAUAACUGCAAAUUCUCUGCCAUCACAGAAGCAGUGUUAGAGUUACUCAAAUACCACCUCUCUCUUUUUCCUUUGGCCUUAGCUGCUGUAGCUAAGGGGAGCACUUGGUUGUUCUUGUUCUGUAAUUGUGGUGAGUUGACCUUGACUGGAUACCAGAUGCCCACUAAAGCCACUCUACCACUUCUCAGCUGGACAGGGGAGAGAAAAUAUAACAAAAGGCUUGUGGGUUGAGAUAAGGAGGGGGAGAGAUCACUCAGGGGAGAUAUCACUAAGGGGAGAGCUCACUCAUCACAGGCAAAACAGACUCAACCUGGGGAAAUCAGUUUAAUUUAUUGUCAGUAAAAAUCAGAGUAAAGUAGUGAGAAAUAAAAUCUUAAGCCACCUUUCGCCCACUCCUCCUCUCUUCCCAGGCUCAACUUUAUAUCUAAGUUCUCUCUCUCUUCCCCACAGCAGCGUAGGGGGAUGGGGAAUGUGGGCUGUGGUCAGUUCAUCCCACCUUGUCUCUGCUGCUCGUUUCUUCCAAUGAGAAGGACUCAUCCCCUCCCCUGCUCCAGCAUGGGUCCCUUCCAUAGGGUGCAGUCUGCCAGGAACAGGCUGCUCCAGGGUAGGUUCCUUGCAGUGUCACAAGUCCUGCCAGCAAACCUGCUCCAGUGUGGGUUCUUCUCUCCACAGAUCCACAGGUCCUGACAGAAGCAUGCUCCAGCACAGGUUUUCCAUGGGGUCACAGGCUCCUUUGGGCAUCCACCUGUUCCAACAUGGGGUCCUUCAUAAGCUGCAGGUGGAUCUCUGCUCCUCUGUGGACCUCCAUGGGCUGCAGGGGCACAGCUGCCUCACCAUGGGCUGCACCACAGACUGCAGGGGAAUUUCUGCUCUGGUGCAUGGAGCACCUCCUCACACUCCUUCCUCACUGAUCUUGGUGUCUGAAGGGCUGUUUCUCUCACAUAUUCCCGCUCCUCUGUUCACUGCUGUUAUUCUGAGCAGUUUUUUCUCCUUCUUGUAUUCGUUAUCCCAGAGGUAGCUGUUGGGCUCAGCCUUGGCUAGCAUCUGGUCUCUCUCAGAGCCAGCUGGAGUUGGCUGUCAGACUUGGGGGAAGCUUCCAUCAGCUUCUUACAGAAGCCACCUCUGUAGCCCCCCGCUGCAAAAACAAUGCCACACAAACCCAACACUGCAGUAUUUUCUACUCUUUUCUGGAUACAGCUAUUUGAUUUGUACUCAGGAGCUGUAUCUUCCAACAAAUAUAAAUUAUGCACAUACUCUGUGUCAUCUCUCAGUUUUCAUCUCUCACUUCUUCUCAUAGAAGUGAGGCUUCUAUGUAUUAAAAGAAAAAAAAAAAGACUUGUGUAAGAGAGCACCUUCCAGACAUAAAGUUGUCUCCUUUCUGUAUGACUCACGCUGCUGCAUCCCUCUUUGCCUCAAGCUGAGCCUGAUGUGCUCCCAAAGGUUGAAGACCUGAGUUUGGGUCUUUCAAGGAAGUGCUUUAAUCACCAGAGGGAUGGGUGUUGCAUCUCGUUGUGCAGUCUCUCGUGCCUCACUUACAAAAUGCCUACUAGCACCAGUUCCCAUGAGAGAGAAGCAACAAAAGGGUCGGUACGGGAGUUCUGCCAACACUCAGAUAAUAUCUAGGGAUCAGAGCAGGUCAGUUACAUCAAGGCUUAGCAAGUCCGUGAGUUCCUGUAAACAAAACCUAGGCUUUGUUACAUUAAUAUUGACAUCUACAGGUGAAAAUGGGAUUUGAACACAAGAUUUGCAACAAGCAUUAGUGUCACUGUAGUUCUUGGACACGGCACUCAAAGCAGCCAUACAGCUCUUGAAGUACUCAAAUUUCAAGUGCCCAACACUUUAACAACAAAGUAAUUGCACACAUAAAUGGCCAGAAUUACCCAGGUUUCAUUACUUACUGUUUUAUGUACUGAUGCAACACAACAUCACAGUUACUGUAUUUAACAAAUUGGUCCCUUGACAGUUGUUUCAGUGAGAUGUAGGCUAAUGAAGCAACUCUCUGUCAUGGACUCAAGAGGCAGAAACUUCUCUAUUUGUAUGUAUGGCCAGUCUUUGCAAGUGAAGAUUUGGGAAAGGUCUUUACCCUUCGAGCCUGCGCAGUGGAUUUUUUAGGUGAGACACAGUGUGCGCUGAACUGAGCCCACCCUUUAAUCCUAAGGUUCAUCUGCCGGGGCCGAGCGAGCUUGGACAGUGGCAGCGAGGUCCUCAGGACGUAGGUUUGUUUAGAGUGACCUUCUUUUAGAUGGAUGGCCUUACAGGGCUGACGAGCUCCAUCUGCCCACGGGAGUUUCCCUGACUGGGAAUCGAACCCAGCCACAGCAGUGAGAGUGCUGCAUCCUAACCACUAGACCACCAGGGGGCCCCUUAUCUAUUUACGUAUUUAAGAAAGAUUCUUGCUUGAAGGAUUCAUGUUGAUAGAAUAAAGUGAAUAUCAGAAUAUGCUCUCUAGUCAAGCAGCUUGUCCUAUUACAGCUAUCCUUUACAAAUCACAUAUAUGUUCCCAAAGCUGUGUCUUCUGGAACUUUUGAGGAAAUUUAUUGGCCUUAAAAGCCGAUGUUCUUAGACACUGAUAGACCCAGAAGAGAGGCAAAAUCCAGAACAAAAGACUCUUUCAAUUAAAUGCUUAAAACGUUCCAGUAACAAACUCCCCCACAUUAAACUAGAUGACAACUAACUGAGGCAUUUCUGAUGCACUCAGCUGCUUUGGUGCUACACAAGCAGAAAUCAUCUCUAAAAUGUACAAGAUCCAGCCUACAAAGGAGACUUUGUGCAGUGUCUCUCUGAAACAAUUUUUAUAGCAAUUACUUGGAAAUUAAGUUCUACUGCAUUUGCCAUCAGCUUCAGUGGAACCAGGCUUUCAUCCAUUUCGUAUCAGCUUUAGGGCUGUUUUUUUUUCUGUUUUCCCAUUUCUGGCAUGAUCCAGUUCAGAGAGUAGCUGCAAUCUGUCAUCUGGUGGUGGAUACUGAAUGUAUGUUGGGGGGAGGGGGGAAUUAAAAAAAAACCCCAAUCUGCCAAGUCUUGCAGCCUUCAACCUUUCGUGCAGUAGAAGGUUUACAAGAUGAUUUAAAAUCUGCAUGUGUAGAAAAUAAGGAAGAUGGGCUGACUCUAGACAUAAAAUAGGUUUGGGACAGACUGAGAUUGAUGGCUUUGUGACAAUGACACUAAAGUUAAUAGCUGAUAUAGGCAGACAACAGAGUCUAUUUUAAAUUUAAAAUUGAACUGUGUGUCACUGACAGCAUCAUACUGACCAUUCAUUGCUAGACCUAAUUUCUCUCUGGUAAUGACUACAAGAAGCAGAAUAGAUAAUGAUGUGCACUGCAGAACAUUUGGGAAAUGGGAUUAACUGAUUUGCUUUUUUUUUUUCCUUGUUUUUAAAACAACUAUUUAAUGAUUAGUAGAGGUGGCUAUCCUUGAACACUCCUGAAGGGUAAAGAUUAGUCACUCCUCUGGGAACAUCUCUGUCGCCUCUAUUUCCUUUCCUCUUAGGAGACAGAAGGGGUGUAAAUUGUGCUUGCAACAGACUGGGAAGGCUGACACUGUUAAAAUAUAAGACCUUGACAAAAACCCUGGAGAUGAUGUAUCACCAGUCUCCUGGGCAGUUGCACUCCACAUUCACAUUUGCACACUGCAGAUAAUUCCUGUCUCUCAACAGCCUGAACCCAAACUUCAAAUGCAAAUUGUCUUGAAGCUGGAAAUGGAAACUUGCAUGCACCGAAAGGAGAGAGUUAUUCACAUAUUUAAAUAAAAAGCUGACAAAAAAAUACGUGAAACAAGGAAAAAACAAAUCCUUCAGUCCUGGGGGAAGCAUUUCUUUGCUGUCUAUUUCUGUCAUUAUUCCCUCCUGUUUAUCUACCCUUUUCUUCAGAGACAGAGAUGAUCACUGGUUUUGUACAUCUCCACCCACACAAACAGAGAUCUUUAUUGGCAUACCACUGUAGGGCUGAUCACCAGAGACUUAACUUUAUUACGUGUCAGUGAAAGGCCUUUAAAAAAGUGCACAAACUAUAAUACAAGGGGCUUCUGAAAUUUUACGUGCAUGGCACAUGGAAGCAAUCGACUUCAGGAAUAAAUAUUUGUGCCUCAAACCUGAAUGCAGCCAGCACACAUGCGUGAGGGUGAAUGUUGCUGGCCUCAUGCUAGGAAUUUGAGCUCUGUCCUUGAAACCACUUUUUUUUUGGUAGGUGCUGUGUUAAUGUGUAGCAAAAUGGUAGUAGUGCAUUCCAUAAUCUGCUCAGUAACUGUAUUUCAGAGCAUCAGUAGGUUGAAAUUUCUACCUGCUUUCCUUACUCCUGUCUGUGACAUGAGUCUGCAGACCUGAAGGAUUUACUGUUUCUCUGCUUGCUUUUUCUGUUUGGCAGGAAAACUAGCUGAAUGGUUCGAGUCAAGUUCAAAAGCUCAAAUCUGAAAGCUGCAUACUCUUUGGUUGAAUUAAUUGCAAUUCCACUCUGGCCUUGUAAAGCUAAUUUAAAUUAUAGUGGUCUCUGCAACUUCAUGGUGUAAAAUAAAUAAAUCUAAUUGUAUUUGGCUUAACUACUGAAUCUGCUUAUUACUUUCCAAAUGGUACGGUGGGACUUGUAGUUUUUAUAAACUAAGCUACCAAAUGAUUAUGAUGAGAAAUCAGGACUGUGGAAGUAGUAAUUACAUAUAUAUAACCCCAUUUUCUACCCUAUGAGAAAGUGCAGUGCCUAUGUUCUAUUUCCUCCUUUUCUUCUGUCUUCUGUGAGUGCUGGAGGGCAUUUUAGAUGGGGUUGCUCAGACUAUCCAAGACCUUUAAAAAAAUCUUCUCAUUUCCUAGAAAGUAAUUGAAAACUCCCACACCAAACAAAAAUAUAUGUAGCAUACGUAAAUGCUAUAAAAGUAAUAUGUGGUUUACAUAACGAUUUAUAAUGCUACUUCAUCUCUGAGGCAAAAUAUGAUCAUGUAUUUUAUGCUCUUAGAUCACCCCUGUGUGUCUGUGCUGGAAUAAACACGCUCCCUUGGUGCAGACUGUGACAUAGCUCACACUGCAAGGCAUGCAAUCACUACGGCUGGUUUUGUUAUCAGCUGGGAAAGGGUGGAUAAACAGGAUCAUGUUUCCCAUUAGUAAAAGGCUUUCUAAGUUCCACAAAGUCAACAGACAGUAAUCAGAAUUUCCAUGAAGGCAUGUUAACCAGAAGAGGAAUUUCUGCAGCAAAUCAUCACAAAGAAGCCAUGAAAGCCUGUUUAAUACUUGCAGGUGGCAUCUAGUCCAGGUGCUCACAGGAGCUCAUUAUCUGACAGUCAUCCAAUAAAUAGAUGCUCUACAACUGUACAAUCUAAA